rnacentral:rRNA from 1 species
GACGAACGCUGGCGGCGUGCUUAACACAUGCAAGUCGAGCGGUAAGGCCCUUUCGGGGGUACACGAGCGGCGAACGGGUGAGUAACACGUGGGUGACCUGCCCUCAGCUCUGGGAUAAGCCUGGGAAACCGGGUCUAAUACUGGAUAUGACUCCAUGACGCAUGUUGUGGGGUGGAAAGCCUUGUGCGGCUGAGGAUGGGCCCGCGGCCUAUCAGCUUGUUGGUGGGGUGAUGGCCUACCAAGGCGACGACGGGUAGCCGGCCUGAGAGGGCGACCGGCCACACUGGGACUGAGACACGGCCCAGACUCCUACGGGAGGCAGCAGUGGGAAUCUUGCGCAAUGGGCGAAAGCCUGACGCAGCGACGCCGCGUGAGGGAUGACGGCCU